rnacentral:rRNA from 1 species
CCAAUAGCGUAUAUUAAAGUUGUUGCAGUUAAAAAGCUCGUAGUUGAAUUUCGGGAUCAAUAUGUCGGUCGUGCCUUCGGUACGUACUGGUAUCAUUGGUCUCUCCUUUCUGACGAACCAUGAUGUCAUUAAUUUGGUGUUAUGGGGAGUUAGGACUGUUACUUUGAAAAAAUUAGAGUGUUUAAAGCAGGCUUUAGCUUGAAUACAUUAGCAUGGAAUAAUGAAAUAGGACGUUAGAACCUAUUUUGUUGGUUUCUAGGAUCAACGUAAUGAUUAAUAGGGAUAGUUGGGGGCAUUAGUAUUCAAUUGUCAGAGGUGAAAUUCUUGGAUUUAUUGAAGACUAACUACUGCGAAAGCAUUUGCCAAGGAUGUUUUCAUUAAUCAAGAACGAAAGUUAGGGGAUCGAAGACGAUCAGAUACCGUCGUAGUCUUAACCAUAAACUAUGCCGACUAGGGAUCGGAUGAUGUUAAUUUUUUAAUGACUCAUUCGGCGCCUUACG